AGGCUCUUCUUUUAUCGGCCGUGACCAGCUCUUCUCGUCCAUCUCAAUGUAUGACUCUUUCUUCUCUUGUCAACUCUCUCUUUUGUUCAUGAAGUUUCAGAUCUGAAAUUGCUUUCAAAAGAAAGUGAAAUGGAGGAUAGAACAGAACCGUAGAGAACAGUUCCGGAGGCGGUGUGACAGAGUCACGUCUCUCUCUAUCUCUUGCUCUCCUUCGAAUCUGAUUUUGAUUUUUUUUUUUGGUAAAGGAAGUUGGAGGAUGUACAAGACGCUUGACUAUGGAGGAGGCAAAGCGUGGUCUCGGCGUUUGUGGUGCAAGGCGUGGUCUCGGCGGCGGUUGUGCAAGCCGUGGUCGUAGUGGUGUUGGUGUGGCGGAGAGAACAAGUGUUUAGGGCUUAGAUGCUGCGGUGGUUUGAUUAGUAAACCAAUUUGUAAUUGUAAACCGAUU
rnacentral:lncRNA from 1 species